GACGAACCGUACGAACGUUAUUCGGAAUUACUGGGCUUAAAGGGUGCGUAGGCUGUGCAGAAAGUUGGGUGUGAAAUCCCCCGGCUCAACCGGGGAAUGGCGCUCAUAACUACUGUGCUAGAGGGAGACAGAGGUAAGCGGAACUCAGGGUGGAGCGGUGAAAUGCGUUGAUAUCCUGAGGAACACCGGUGGCGAAGGCGGCUUACUGGGUCUCUUCUGACGCUGAGGCACGAAAGCUAGGGUAGCGAACGGG
rnacentral:misc_RNA from 1 species